UACGUAGGGUGCAAGCGUUAAUCGGAAUUACUGGGCGUAAAGCGUGCGCAGGCGGUUUUGUAAGUCUGUCGUGAAAUCCCCGGGCUCAACCUGGGAACGGCGAUGGAGACUGCAAGGCUAGAAUCUGGCAGAGGGGGGUAGAAUUCCACGUGUAGCAGUGAAAUGCGUAGAGAUGUGGAGGAACACCGAUGGCGAAGGCAGCCCCCUGGGUCAAGAUUGACGCUCAUGCACGAAAGCGUGGGGAGCAAACAGG
rnacentral:rRNA from 1 species